GAUGAACGCUGGCGGCGUGCCUAAUACAUGCAAGUCGAGCGAACAGACGAGGAGCUUGCUCCUCUGACGUUAGCGGCGGACGGGUGAGUAACACGUGGAUAACCUACCUAUAAGACUGGGAUAACUUCGGGAAACCAGAGCUAAUACCGGAUAAUAUAUUGAACCGCAUGGUUCAAUAGUGAAAGACGGUUUUGCUGUCACUUAUAGAUGGAUCCGCGCCGCAUUAGCUAGUUGGUAAGGUAACGGCUUACCAAGGCAACGAUGCGUAGCCGACCUGAGAGGAUGAUCGGCCACACUGGAACUGAGACACGGUCCAGACUCCUACGGGAGGCAGCAGUAGGGAAUCUUCCGCAAUGGGCGAAAGCCUGACGGAGCAACGCCGCGUGAGUGAUGAAGGUCUUCGGAUCGUAAAACUCUGUUAUUAGGGAAGAACAAAUGUGUAAGUAACUAUGCACGUCUUGACGGUACCUAAUCAGAAAGCCACGGCUAACUACGUG
rnacentral:rRNA from 1 species